rnacentral:rRNA from 1 species
GGGGCAAGCGUUAUCCGGAUUUACUGGGUGUAAAGGGAGCGUAGACGGCGAUACAAGUCUGAAGUGAAAGCCCGGGGCUCAACCCCGGAACUGCUUUGGAAACUGCGCGGCUCGAGUGCAGGAGGGGCAGGCGGAAUUCCUAGUGUAGCGGUGAAAUGCGUAGAUAUUAGGAGGAACACCAGUGGCGAAGGCGGCCUGCUGGACUGUAACUGACGUUGAGGCUCGAAAGCGUGGGGAGCAAAC